UACGUAGGGUGCAAGCGUUGUCCGGAAUUAUUGGGCGUAAAGAGCUCGUAGGCGGUUUGUCGCGUCGAAUGUGAAACCCGGGGCUCAACCCCGGGCCUGCAUUCGAUACGGGCAGACUAGAGUUCGGUAGGGGAGUCUGGAAUUCCUGGUGUAGCGGUGAAAUGCGCAGAUAUCAGGAAGAACACCUAUGGCGAAGGCAGCUCUCUGGGACGGUACUGACGCUGAGACGCGAAAGCGUGGGGAGCGAACAGG
rnacentral:rRNA from 1 species